rnacentral:rRNA from 1 species
UACGAAGGGUGCAAACGUUGCUCGGAAUUAUUGGGCGUAAAGCGCACGUAGGCGGCUCUAUAAGUCGGAUGUGAAAUCCCUCGGCUUAACCAAGGAAGUGCAUCCGAAACUGUGGAGCUUGAGUACUUAAGAGGAUCGCGGAAUUCCCGGUGUAGAGGUGAAAUUCGUAGAUAUCGGGAGGAACACCAGUGGCGAAGGCGGCUCACUGGCCCGGUACUGACGCUGAGGUGCGAAAGCGUGGGGAGCAAACAGG